GAGUUAAGAUGUUGGGGGACUGUUGGGAAGGUAUGAUUGUGUUUUGAAAUGUGUGUUUUGAGGACAUGAGACUUGGGAGGGCCCAGGGGUGGAAUAAUUGGUUUGGAUGUGUCCCCACUCAAAUCUCAUCUUGAAUUCCUACAUGUUGGGGGAGGG